GUGAGCUAUUAUAUUAUUGUUGUUGUCUAAUUUUUUUAGUUCACAUAGCAUUUGUUCAUCGAUUAGGUAUUCUUACAUUUGUGGUCAACCUAUUUACUUGUAUGAUAAGAUGAAUAAAUUGAUACGUUGAUGUAAAACUAUGUGUGAAAGAGUUGCCAUGAUUUCAAUCAAUCGACUUGCAUCCACAGAGUUUAUUUUUCUCUUAAACCUGAUCUCCUUGUACAACCAAAUCUCUCUAGAAUGUAUUCAACCAUCUCUUUCGAACCAUUAAAGUGUACAUGUAUUUGUGUGUGUAUGAUGAAGUUAAAUAUUUGUGCGGUAAUAAGAACACUCCUGCUUCACUUCAUUUUAGGAAAAGACCUUUCCACUCUCUUAAACUGGUAAAGUCAAGGCAUACUCAACAGUAUUUCAUAACAUUUAUGUUUGCAAAUGGUUAUGAUAUUUCUUUGCAACUACAAAAUUAUGUGCCAAGUCCUUUUGCGAAAACAUGCAUGUCUAGCAUUUUAAGUUGUAGUCAAGUUUGUCUCCGCGCUAAUAGGGCCAUCCUAAUAUGGUAACACAAUUUGUUUUUUUCUUGUUCACAUAUAUUUAUCUUUCUGCAGGCAGAUUGAGACUGACAGUAAAUU
rnacentral:misc_RNA from 1 species